UUGUGUUGCAUUAAUGUUGCAUUCUUUAUCAUUAAAACAUUAAAAAUAUAAAGAAACAAUGGUGUGAUUUUGUUUGAUUGAUGGGAAUCUACACUGCAACAGCCUAUCACGGCCUUAAUAAAAAGAACGUUAGGCUACAUACGUGACGUAGCCUACGUCAGUGUAGCCGCUCAACAGUUACCGCGCAUUUUUUAAAGCUGGAUGAGUUUUCGCCGGCUUACUCGCUUCAGUUCGUCAUGGAUAUCCGUAAGUGGUUGAAAAGCCCACCAACAGUAUCCUCUGCCAAAUUGGAUACGACACCGACGACUCCUGAUGUUGUAGUUGGAGAAGGAGACCCUGGACGACAGUCUGAGCCUGAUGCUAUAGUAGCUCCGUGGAGUCCGACCCUGGGCCUGGCAGGACCUGCAGGUCAAGUGCAACCGCGACUGGGGCAGCAUUUGGGCCACAACUGCCUGUUGAAUCAGUGGGUGUGAGUGACCUCGCCAUGGACAAACUGGUUGUGUUGAGGAAAUAUCCAGUCAAAAUGUUUGGUAAAAAAAAAACGAUAAUUUUCCUCUAGCUGGUAUUUGAACAGGGACUGGCUUGAGUACUCGGUGGAAAAGGACUCCGCAUUUUGUUAUGCAUGCAGGAAAUUCAAAUCUGUAUCAUCGGACGCGACCUUCUUCUUCUUCAAGGGAUUUAAUGAUUGGAAACAUGCAAUUGGAACAGGCAAGGGCUUAAAUAAGCAUGCAGCUUCAAAAGAACAUUUAGCCUGUGAAGCAAUGUGGAGAGAUUCAGAAAAACGUAGAGAGACAGGAAAAUAGAUUUCCACUCUCUUAAAUGCAGAGCAACUGGCUCGCAACAGAUACUACAUGUCAGCUGUAAUUGAUAUGCUGGAGUUUUUAGUGGUGAAUCAAUUGCUGUUACAUGGAGAUAAUGCUGGUUUUGCCAGUGUGCUAGGUGAUAAUAGCUCAAUGGGGCUGUUUUUGUCUCUUUGAGUACACCAUGCGCAAAGAUCCCGAAUUGACACGGAUUACAAAAACAAUCCCACAGAAUGCACGCUAUACCAGCCCACAGAUACAAAACGAGAUUAUCGAAAUGAUGAGCAAACAGAGGAGAUAGUGAGACAAGUCGGCGAUAGCUGGUAUUCAAUUAAAGUGGAUGGCACACGGGAUCCUUUAGGCCAAGAAAACAUAUCUGUAGUUGUGCGUUUUGUUGACAAAAACUAUGGUCUGUGUGAGCGCCUCUUGGUAAUGGCCACAUCUGAGAAAGGUGAUGCAGAGGCUCUGACAGGUGUCAUCAUUGAGACAAAAUCCUGAGUAAAGUUUAUGAUGGCGCAUCACUCAUGUCUGGCAGGCAUGGUGGUGUGCAGAAAUUGCUCAAAAACAAGCUGGAUCGUAACAUACCAUAUAUUCACUGCUUUAAUCACCAACUUCAUCUGGUUGUGAUUCAUGCCAUGUCCAGUGAAGCAGCUGUCGAUGAUUUUUUUUAGAGUAUGCAACAUGCUGUACAACUUCAUCAGGAAGCCAACUGUGGCUAUUCUGUACAAAGGCGAUACCCUGAAACGUCUCUGGGACCAGAGAUGGACUGGCCACUUGGCAACAGUCAAAGUUGUGGUGAAGAGUAUAUCAUAUUCACAUUACUGACCGAGGUGGAAAACACACGAGGCCUUGGAGCGGAGGUGCGCGUCGAGGCUACGGGGCUGCUUCGUGCCAUUACGCAGCGCAGUUUUCUUUUCAUUGCGCACCUUGUUAUGAAACUGUUGUCACUUUUCGAGCCGCCUAACAGACUACCACAGGCCGAAGAUAUGGACUUGUUCACUGCGGUGACACUUGUGAACAGCGCUUCUGACUGCGUGAAGACACUGCGCACAGAAAACGAGUUUUCUGCAUUGUGGGAUCUCUGCGCUCCUCCAGCAUCGGCCACCGAGGCUGUGCCGGUGACCGACCCUGGUCCAAGCAAGAGAAGACGCACAAUUAAUAAGAACCUCCGCGGAUUUGCAGUUGAAGAAACAGUUGGUCAGCCACAAAGUGACAUAGAUGAAAAGACUGAGUUCAUGAGAUUGUUUUACAGUGUUAUGAUGCUGUGCAAGGAGAGAUGAAUGCGCGUUUUGGAGAGCGCAGUAGCGAGCUCAUUGGCGCACUGGCUGCUUUGAACCCAGAGGCCGAGGAUAAUUUCCUGGACCCAUCAAAGGUAACACCUCUCCUGGUAUUAGCUGGAACUGAUGUGGUUGAAUCUGAAUAUACUGUGGCUCAUGAGUUCCUGGUGAAGAAAAUGACUGACACCCGGUUCCCCCCGAAGAUGGAAAAUGGACAAUAGCCAACAUCCUCAGCACAUUCAACUGUGCACUCCAGGCUAUGCCGACAGUUCUCACAGACUACACACUUGCCCUAACUUUAGGAGCUUACACAGCAAUGUGUGAAAACUCAUUUUCCACGCUCAAAAGCGUCUUCUCAGAGCAUCGGCGCAGUAUGCUGCACAGACGCAAGGCCCAGCUGAUUCAGCUUUCUUUUGAAAAGGACCUCACUCACAAGUUUAAGUCCGAGUGGAAGGAUACUUUGAUGAGGAGGUUCUGCUCGGAGAAACACCGCCUCCCGCUGUACUGACAGGAGGGACUGGAGAGAGGACAGCGCUGCCUCCACUCAAAGUACCGGAAGACACCUCAUAACGGCUAACAUCAGGGGCACCCUUGUGUCUUAUCAUGAACGGGGUAUGAAAAGGAGGUCCUCAGCCCUGGUGACGGAGGUCACUGCAGCUACAGGACUACCUGUGUCUGUAGUUAAGAACUGGAUUGGUAACUAUGGGCGUUUACUUAAUACGUCCUGCAACACCCGGCGCCACAAAGCUGCUGGUUAUAAGCGCAGUGUCUGCCUAUAACUUGUUUUGCGCAGAGGUGCUGAAGGGGAAAGAUGAAUGUGGUGGAAAAGGUUGGUUCCCCUACCGCUCUUUUGAGGAGGGGACCAUCGUUAUUAGAUGUCUGGGGCAUGAGUUAACC